rnacentral:lncRNA from 1 species
AGUGUUUACUUCGCCUCCACUUCUGUUCCUCCCCGCCCUGGUGCUGCUCCAGGUCACAUACUCUUCCUGAGCCGGCUUCAGCCUCUCCGCGCAGAAGUCUCCCGGAGCCAUGGCCUAGUAUUCUUAUGUGAAGUCUACCAAGCUUGUGCUCAAGGGAACCGAGGUGAAGAGCUGGGUCCUGCAGCUCCGGCGGGAGCCUCCUCAGUUCUUUUCGGACGCACUCCACCCCCGCGAAUCCGGUGGAAGCCGUGAUGCGGAGAGCCGGCUUCGUGGCCUCCCAGGCUUCGCUCUGACCCUGUCUGGGCUGGAUGGAGGCCGGACCGCCCUUCCUGGCGCCUGUGCAGAGAGGGGCAGCCUCCUGCGCGGACGACCCUGGAAACAGGAUAGACGGGCGGGUGACCCGUGACCCCGUACCCACGAGUUUGGGUCCCUUGAGGCAUCUCUCCAGGCCUCUGCCUGUAAGAAGAAAAAGAGCAAAGAUAAGAAGAGAAAAAGAGAAGAUGAAGAAACCCAGCUUGAUAUGUUGAGGAACGCAGCUGCUCACCAGCAACGGAACAAAGCUGGACGGAGAAUGACUUUGAAGAGCUGAGAGAAGGCUUCAGACGAUCAAAUUACUCUGAGCUACGGGAGGACA